GAUGAACGCUGGCGGCGUGCCUAAUACAUGCAAGUCGAGCGAACGGACGAGAAGCUUGCUUCUCUGAUGUUAGCGGCGGACGGGUGAGUAACACGUGGAUAACCUACCUAUAAGACUGGGAUAACUUCGGGAAACCGUAGCUAAUACCGGAUAAUAUUUUGAACCGCAUGGUUCAAAAGUGAAAGACGGUCUUGCUGUCACUUAUAGAUGGAUCCGCGCUGCAUUAGCUAGUUGGUAAGGUAACGGCUUACCAAGGCAACGAUGCAUAGCCGACCUGAGAGAGUGAUCGGCCACACUAGAACGGGGACACGGUCCAGGCUCCUACGAGAGGCAGCAGUAGGGUAUCUGCCGCAGUAGUCGAAAGCCUGACGGAGCAACGCCGCGUGAGUGAUGGAGGUCUUCGGAUCGUAAAACUCUGUUAUUAGGGAAGAACAUAUGUGUAAGUAACUGUGCACAUCUUGACGGUACCUAAUCAGAAAGCCACGGCUAACUACGUG
rnacentral:rRNA from 1 species